GUUGAAGGUUGAGAGUUUGUGUUGAAGAAGAAGAAGUUUAUGAUGAGGUUGAAGAAUCUGGAAGUUUGAGAAGUGAAGAUUGAAGAAGAAUUGAAUCGAGGAAAAAACUGGAUGAAAAGAGAUGAAUUGCUUUUAUAGAGUGAUGAGAGGACUUUUGUUGAAGGUUAAAAAUGGUUUUUUAUUGCCGGCGUUACCGUAA